rnacentral:rRNA from 1 species
UACAGAGGAUGCAAGCGUUAUCCGGAAUGAUUGGGCGUAAAGCGUCCGUAGGUGGUUUGUCAAGUCUGUGGUUAAAGCGUGGAGCUUAACUCCAUAAAGGCCAUGGAAACUGACAGACUAGAGUUAAGUAGGGGUAGAGGGAAUUCCCAGUGUAGCGGUGAAAUGCGUAGAGAUUGGGAAGAACACCGGUGGCGAAAGCGCUCUACUGGACUUAUACUGACACUGAGGGACGAAAGCUAGGGGAGCGAAAGGG